rnacentral:rRNA from 1 species
GAUCAUGGCUCAGGAUGAACGCUGGCGGCGUGCUUAACACAUGCAAGUCGAACGGACUUUAUAUGAAGCCUAGCGAUUAUAAAGUUAGUGGCGGACGGGUGAGUAACGCGUGAAUAACCUGCCCUGUACCGGGGGACAACAGUUGGAAACAGCUGCUAAUACCGCAUAAGCGCACGGUUCCGCAUGGAACAGUGUGAAAAACUCCGGUGGUACAGGAUGGAUUCGCGUCUGAUUAGCCAG